rnacentral:rRNA from 1 species
CCUACGGGAGGCAGCAGUGGGGAAUAUUGGACAAUGGGCGAAAGCCUGAUCCAGCCAUGCCGCGUGUGUGAAGAAGGCCUUCGGGUUGUAAAGCACUUUCAGUGGGGAAGAAAGCCUUGGGACUAAUACCCUCGAGGAAGGACAUCACCCACAGAAGAAGCACCGGCUAACUCCGUGCCAGCAGCCGCGGUAAUACGGAGGGUGCGAGCGUUAAUCGGAAUUACUGGGCGUAAAGCGCGCGUAGGCGGUCUGAUAAGCCGGUUGUGAAAGCCCCGGGCUCAACCUGGGAACGGCAUCCGGAACUGUCAGGCUAGAGUGCAGGAGAGGAAGGUAGAAUUCCCGGUGUAGCGGUGAAAUGCGUAGAGAUCGGGAGGAAUACCAGUGGCGAAGGCGGCCUUCUGGACUGACACUGACGCUGAGGUGCGAAAGCGUGGGUAGCAAACAGGAUUAGAUACCCGAGUAGUC